rnacentral:rRNA from 1 species
AGUGGGGAGGUAAAGGCUCACCAAGACCGUGAUGCAUAGCCGACCUGAGAGGGUAAUCGGCCACACUGGGACUGAGACACGGCCCAGAUUCCUACGGGAGGCAGCAGUAGGGAAUCUUCCACAAUGGACGAAAGUCUGAUGGAGCAACGCCGCGUGAGUGAAGAAGGUUUUCGGAUCGUAAAACUCUGUUGUUGGAGAAGAAUGUAUCUGAUAGUAACUGAUCAGGUAGUGACGGUAUCCAACCAGAAAGCCACGGCUAACUACGUGCCAGCAGCCGCGGUAAUACGUAGGUGGCAAGCGUUGUCCGGAUUUAUUGGGCGUAAAGCGAGCGCAGGCGGUUUCUUAAGUCUGAUGUGAAAGCCUUCGGCUCAACCGAAGAAGUGCAUCGGAAACUGGGAAACUUGAGUGCAGAAGAGGACAGUGGAACUCCAUGUGUAGCGGUGAAAUGCGUAGAUAUAUGGAAGAACACCAGUGGCGAAGGCGGCUGUCUGGUCUGUAACUGACGCUGAGGCUCGAAAGCAUGGGUAGCAAACAGGAUUAGAUACCCUGGUAGUCCAUGCCGUAAACGAUGAGUGCUAGGUGUUGGAGGGUUUCCGCCCUUCAGUGCCGCAGCUAACGCAUUAAGCACUCCGCCUGGGGAGUACGACCGCAAGGUUGAAACUCAAAGGAAUUGACGGGGGCCCGCACAAGCGGUGGAGCAUGUGGUUUAAUUCGAAGCAACGCGAAGAACCUUACCAGGUCUUGACAUCCUUUGACCACUCUAGAGAUAGAGCUUUCCCUUCGGGGACAAAGUGACAGGUGGUGCAUGGUUGUCGUCAGCUCGUGUCGUGAGAUGUUGGGUUAAGUCCCGCAACGAGCGCAACCCUUAUUACUAGUUGCCAGCAUUUAGUUGGGCACUCUAGUGAGACUGCCGGUGACAAACCGGAGGAAGGUGGGGACGACGUCAAAUCAUCAUGCCCCUUAUGACCUGGGCUACACACGUGCUACAAUGGAUGGUACAACGAGUUGCGAGACCGCGAGGUUUAGCUAAUCUCUUAAAACCAUUCUCAGUUCGGAUUGUAGGCUGCAACUCGCCUACAUGAAGCCGGAAUCGCUAGUAAUCGCGGAUCAGCAUGCCGCGGUGAAUACGUUCCCGGGCCUUGUACACACCGCCCGUCACACCAUGAGAGUUUGUAACACCCAAAGCCGGUGAGGUAACCCUUCGGGGAGCCAGCCGUCUAAG